rnacentral:rRNA from 1 species
AGUGAACGCUGGCGGUAGGCCUAACACAUGCAAGUCGAACGGCAGCACAGUAAGAGCUUGCUCUUACGGGUGGCGAGUGGCGGACGGGUGAGGAAUACAUCGGAAUCUACUUUUUCGUGGGGAUAACGUAGGGAAACUUACGCUAAUACCGCAUACGACCUACGGGUGAAAGCAGGGGAUCUUCGGACCUUGCGCGAUUGAAUGAGCCGAUGUCGGAGUAGCUAGGUGGCGGGGUAAAGGCCCACCAAGGCGAGGAUCCGUAGCUGGACUGAGGGGAUGAGCAGCCACACGGGAACUGGGAACCGGUCCAGAUCCGUACGGGAGGCAGCAGUGGGGAAUAUUGGACAAUGGGCGAAAGCCUGAUCCAGCCAUACGGCGUGGGUGUAGAAGGCCUUCGGGUUGUAAAGCCUUUUUGUUGGGAAAGAAAAGCAGCAGGUUAAUACCCCGCUGUUCUGACGGUACCAAAAGAAUAAGCACCGGCUAACUGCGU